rnacentral:rRNA from 1 species
GACAGAGGGUGCAAACGUUGUUCGGAAUUACUGGGCGUAAAGCGCGUGUAGGCUGCUUGGCAAGUCGGAUGUGAAAACCCGGGGCUCAACCCCGGGCCUGCAGCCGAUACGGGCAGACUAGAGUUCGGCAGGGGAGACUGGAAUUCCUGGUGUAGCGGUGAAAUGCGCAGAUAUCAGGAGGAACACCGGUGGCGAAGGCGGGUCUCUGGGCCGACACUGACGCUGAGGAGCGAAAGCGUGGGGAGCGAACAGG